CCCCGAGUAGUACAGUGGUCAGUAUUCCAGACUCUCAACCCAAGAGUGCUCUGGCGGCCCGGGUUCGAUUCCCGGCUCGGGAA